rnacentral:misc_RNA from 1 species
GAUGAAGAACGUAGCGAAAUGCGAUAAGUAAUGUGAAUUGCAGAAUUCAGUGAAUCAUCGAAUCUUUGAACGCACCUUGCGCCCUUUGGCUAUUCUGAAGGGCAUGCCUGUUUGAGUAUCGUGAACACCUCAACUCUCAUGGUUCGCCAUGAUGAGCUUGGACUUUGGGGGUCUUGCUGGCCUACGGUCGGCUCCUCUCAAAUGAAUCAGCUUGCCAGUGUUUGGUAGAGUCGCAGGUGUGAUAACUAUCUACGCUUGUGGUUUUCUGCCAGAUAACCUUCAGUGAUGGAGGUUCGCUGGAGCUUAUAAAUGUCUCUCCCCAGUGAGGACAGCUUUUUGAACGUAUUAUCUCAAAUCAGGUAGGACUACCCGCUGAACUUAAGCAUAUCAAUAAGCGGAGGA